rnacentral:rRNA from 1 species
CAAACUUAAAUGAAUUGACGGGGACCCGCACAAGCGGUGGAUGAUGUGGUUUAAUUCGAUGCAACGCGAAAAACCUUACCCACCUUUGACAUGUAUGGAAUCCCGCAGAGAUGUGGGAGUGCUCGCAAGAGAGCCAUAACACAGGUGCUGCAUGGCUGUCGUCAGCUCGUGUCGUGAGAUGUUGGGUUAAGUCCCGCAACGAGCGCAACCCUUGCCAUCAGUUGCUACGAAAGGGCACUCUGAUGGGACUGCCGGUGACAAACCGGAGGAAGGUGGGGAUGACGUCAAGUCCUCAUGGCCCUUAUAGGUGGGGCUACACACGUCAUACAAUGGCCGGUACAAAGGGCAGCGAAGCCGCGAGGUGAAGCCAAUCCCAUAAAGCCGGUCGUAGUCCGGAUCGCAGUCUGCAACUCGACUGCGUGAAGUCGGAAUCGCUAGUAAUCGUGGAUCAGCAUGUCACGGUGAAUACGUUCCCGGGUCUUGUACACACCGCCCGUCACACCAUGGGAGCGGGUCUCACCAGAAGCAGGUAGCCUAACCGCAAGGAGGGCGCUUGCCACGGUGGGGUUCGUGACUGGGGUGAAGUCGUAACAAGGUAGCCGUAUCGGAAGGUGCGGCUGGAUC